UUAAGCGACUAAGCGUACACGGUGGAUGCCCUGGCAGUCAGAGGCGAUGAAGGACGUGCUAAUCUGCGAUAAGCGCCGGUAAGGUGAUAUGAACCGUUAUAACCGGCGAUUUCCGAAUGGGGAAACCCAGUGUGACUCGUCACACUAUCAUUAACUGAAUCCAUAGGUUAAUGAGGCGAACCGGGGGAACUGAAACAUCUAAGUACCCCGAGGAAAAGAAAUCAACCGAGAUUCCCCCAGUAGCGGCGAGCGAACGGGGAGGAGCCCAGAGCCUGAAUCAGCAUGUGUGUUAGUGGAAGCGUCUGGAAAGGCGCGCGAUACAGGGUGACAGCCCCGUACACAAAAGCGCAUGUGCUGUGAGCUCGAUGAGUAGGGCGGGACACGUGGUAUCCUGUCUGAAUAUGGGGGGACCAUCCUCCAAGGCUAAAUACUCCUGACUGACCGAUAGUGAACCAGUACCGUGAGGGAAAGGCGAAAAGAACCCCGGCGAGGGGAGUGAAAAAGAACCUGAAACCGUGUACGUACAAGCAGUGGGAGCACAGGUUUACCUGUGUGACUGCGUACCUUUUGUAUAAUGGGUCAGCGACUUAUAUUCUGUAGCAAGGUUAACCGUAUAGGGGAGCCGGAGGGAAACCGAGUCUUAACCGGGCGUUAAGUUGCAGGGUAUAGACCCGAAACCCGGUGAUCUAGCCAUGGGCAGGUUGAAGGUUGGGUAACACUAACUGGAGGACCGAACCGACUAAUGUUGAAAAAUUAGCGGAUGACCUGUGGCUGGGGGUGAAAGGCCAAUCAAACCGGGAGAUAGCUGGUUCUCCCCGAAAGCUAUUUAGGUAGCGCCUCGUGAAUUCAUCUCCGGGGGUAGAGCACUGUUUCGGCUAGGGGGCCAUCCCGGCUUACCAACCCGAUGCAAACUGCGAAUACCGGAGAAUGUUAUCACGGGAGACACACGGCGGGUGCUAACGUCCGUCGUGAAGAGGGAAACAACCCAGACCGCCAGCUAAGGUCCCAAAGUCAUGGUUAAGUGGGAAACGAUGUGGGAAGGCCCAGACAGCCAGGAUGUUGGCUUAGAAGCAGCCAUCAUUUAAAGAAAGCGUAAUAGCUCACUGGUCGAGUCGGCCUGCGCGGAAGAUGUAACGGGGCUAAACCAUGCACCGAAGCUGCGGCAGCGAACGUAUCACUUAAAGCGAUUCAGCGGGUUACGAUUGACGGAGCGAAGCGACGUCAAAGCGUAUACAAAGUCGAGUCGGUUUAAGGAUACGUUCGUUGGGUAGGGGAGCGUUCUGUAAGCCUGUGAAGGUGGCCUGUGAGGGUUGCUGGAGGUAUCAGAAGUGCGAAUGCUGACAUAAGUAACGAUAAAGCGGGUGAAAAGCCCGCUCGCCGGAAGACCAAGGGUUCCUGUCCAACGUUAAUCGGGGCAGGGUGAGUCGACCCCUAAGGCGAGGCCGAAAGGCGUAGUCGAUGGGAAACGGGUUAAUAUUCCCGUACUUGGUGUUACUGCGAAGGGGGGACGGAGAAGGCUAUGUUGGCCGGGCGACGGUUGUCCCGGUUUAAGCGUGUAGGCUGGUUUUCCAGGCAAAUCCGGAAAAUCAAGGCUGAGGCGUGACGACGAGGCACUACGGUGCUGAAGCAACAAAUGCCCUGCUUCCAGGAAAAGCCUCUAAGCAUCAGGUAACAUCAAAUCGUACCCCAAACCGACACAGGUGGUCAGGUAGAGAAUACCAAGGCGCUUGAGAGAACUCGGGUGAAGGAACUAGGCAAAAUGGUGCCGUAACUUCGGGAGAAGGCACGCUGACAUGUAGGUGAAGUGAUUUACUCAUGGAGCUGAAGUCAGUCGAAGAUACCAGCUGGCUGCAACUGUUUAUUAAAAACACAGCACUGUGCAAACACGAAAGUGGACGUAUACGGUGUGACGCCUGCCCGGUGCCGGAAGGUUAAUUGAUGGGGUCAGCGCAAGCGAAGCUCCUGAUCGAAGCCCCGGUAAACGGCGGCCGUAACUAUAACGGUCCUAAGGUAGCGAAAUUCCUUGUCGGGUAAGUUCCGACCUGCACGAAUGGCGUAAUGAUGGCCAGGCUGUCUCCACCCGAGACUCAGUGAAAUUGAACUCGCUGUGAAGAUGCAGUGUACCCGCGGCAAGACGGAAAGACCCCGUGAACCUUUACUAUAGCUUGACACUGAACAUUGAGCCUUGAUGUGUAGGAUAGGUGGGAGGCUUUGAAGCGUGGACGCCAGUCUGCGUGGAGCCGACCUUGAAAUACCACCCUUUAAUGUUUGAUGUUCUAACGUGGACCCGUAAUCCGGGUUGCGGACAGUGUCUGGUGGGUAGUUUGACUGGGGCGGUCUCCUCCUAAAGAGUAACGGAGGAGCACGAAGGUUGGCUAAUCCUGGUCGGACAUCAGGAGGUUAGUGCAAUGGCAUAAGCCAGCUUGACUGCGAGCGUGACGGCGCGAGCAGGUGCGAAAGCAGGUCAUAGUGAUCCGGUGGUUCUGAAUGGAAGGGCCAUCGCUCAACGGAUAAAAGGUACUCCGGGGAUAACAGGCUGAUACCGCCCAAGAGUUCAUAUCGACGGCGGUGUUUGGCACCUCGAUGUCGGCUCAUCACAUCCUGGGGCUGAAGUAGGUCCCAAGGGUAUGGCUGUUCGCCAUUUAAAGUGGUACGCGAGCUGGGUUUAGAACGUCGUGAGACAGUUCGGUCCCUAUCUGCCGUGGGCGCUGGAGAACUGAGGGGGGCUGCUCCUAGUACGAGAGGACCGGAGUGGACGCAUCACUGGUGUUCGGGUUGUCAUGCCAAUGGCACUGCCCGGUAGCUAAAUGCGGAAGAGAUAAGUGCUGAAAGCAUCUAAGCACGAAACUUGCCCCGAGAUGAGUUCUCCCUGAGACUUAGAGUCUCCUGAAGGAACGUUGAAGACGACGACGUUGAUAGGCCGGGUGUGUAAGCGCAGCGAUGCGUUGAGCUAACCGGUACUAAUGAACCGUGAGGCUUAACCUU
rnacentral:rRNA from 1 species